rnacentral:rRNA from 1 species
CCUACGGGUGGCAGCAGUGAGGAAUAUUGGUCAAUGGACGAGAGUCUGACCAGUCCAGUAGCGUGAAGGAUGACCGCCCUUAGGGUUGUAAACUUCUUUUAUAAAGGAAUAAAGUGAGGCACGUGUGCCCUUUUGGAUGUACUUUAUGAAUAAGGAACGGCGAACCCCGUGCCAGCAGCCGCCGUAAAACGGAGGAUCCGAGCGUUAUCCGGAUUUAUUGGGUUUAAAGGGAGCGUAGAUGGGUUGUUAAGUCAGUUGUGAAAGUUUGCUGCUCAACCGUAAAAUUGCAAUUGAUACUGGCAGUCUUGAGUACAGUUGAGGUAGGCGGAAUUCGUGGUGUAGCGGUGAAAUGCUUAGAUAUCACGAAGAACUCCGAUUGCGAAGGCAGCUUACUAAACUGCCACUGACAUUGAUGCUCGAAAGUGUGUGUAUCAAACAGGAUUAGAUACCCCAGUAGUC